UACGGAGGGUGCGAGCGUUAUUCGGAAUUACUGGGCGUAAAGCGCGUGUAGGCGGGAAGGCAAGUCUGAUGUGAAAGCCCCGGGCUUAACCUGGGAAGUGCAUUGGAAACUGCCAUUCUUUAGUGCUGGAGAGGAAGGGGGAAUUCCCGGUGUAGAGGUGAAAUUCGUAGAGAUCGGGAGGAAUACCAGUGGCGAAGGCGCCCUUCCGGACGGCAACUGACGAUGAGACGCGAAAGCGUGGGGAGCAAACAGG
rnacentral:rRNA from 1 species